rnacentral:rRNA from 1 species
CUCUCCCAUAUGGUCGACCUGCAGGCGGCCGCGAAUUCACUAGUGAUUAGAGUUUGAUCCUGGCUCAGAGCGAACGCUGGCGGCAGGCUUAACACAUGCAAGUCGAGCGGGCGUASAAUACGUCAGCGGCAGACGGGUGAGUAACGCGUGGGAACGUACCUUUUGGGGSGGAACAACCCAGGGAAACUUGGCUAAUACCGGAUAAACCCUUACGGGGAAAGAUUUAUCGCCGAAAGAUCGGCCCGCGUCUGAUUAGCUAGUUGGUGAGGUAAUGGCUCACCAAGGCGACGAUCAGUAGCUGGUCUGAGAGGAUGAUCAGCCACAUUGGGACUGAGACACGGCCCAAACUCCUACGGGAGGCAGCAGUGGGGAAUAUUGGACAAUGGGCGCAAGCCUGAUCCAGCCAUGCCGCGUGAGUGAUGAAGGCCCUAGGGUUGUAAAGCUCUUUUGUGCGGGAAGAUAAUGACGGUACCGCAAGAAUAAGCCCCGGCUAACUUCGUGCCAGCAGCCGCGGUAAUACGAAGGGGGCUAGCGUUGCUCGGAAUCACUGGGCGUAAAGGGUGCGUAGGCGGGUCUUUAAGUCAGGGGUGAAAUCCUGGAGCUCAACUCCAGAACUGCCUUUGAUACUGAAGAUCUUGAGUUCGGGMCCCGUGAGUGGAACUGCGAGUGUAGAGGUGAAAUUCGUAGAUAUUCGCAAGAACACCAGUGGCGAAGGCGGCUCACUGGCCCGAUACUGACGCUGAGGCACGAAAGCGUGGGGAGCAAACAGGAUUAGAUACCCUGGUAGUCAAUCGAAUUC